UACGGAGGGGGCUAGCGUUGUUCGGAAUUACUGGGCGUAAAGGGUGCGUAGGUGGCUCUAUAAGUAUGGUGUGAAAUCUCCCGCUUAACUGGGAGGGUGCGCCGUAGACUGUGGGGCUAGAGUGUGGGAGAGGAAAGUGGAAUUCCUGGUGUAGCGGUGAAAUGCGUAGAUAUCAGGAGGAACACCGGUGGUGUAAACGGCUU
rnacentral:rRNA from 1 species